ACCCCACUAUUUUGUCCUCAAGAUAAGUUUUUAAGCACUAAAGCUCUUAUAAAGCUAAAACUUAAAUAACAUGGCGGCGAACUUAAAUUUCAGAGGAACCUACCAGAUAAAUGAUAACCCGCAAGACAUUCUUACUUUACCUAAAAGUUUAUAUAUCGUCGUCUAGUAAUCUUAGAACAAAAGAAGGUUACGGAAGAAUAAAGAAAUUAUAAAAAGACAGAUCAUGACAUAGCAUAUGGUGAAGACUUAAGGUGGGUUACACUAAAAGAUUUUUUCGGAAAAGUAACUAAGUUAACUUAAAAAGAUGGAUUUGAAAGUAAAAAAUAAUUCUUAUAAAUAUUUUUUGAAUAUUUCUAGGUUCGUGUACACACCG
rnacentral:rRNA from 1 species